GGUGGGUGGUGGGGGGGGGGGGUGGAGGGUUUAGUACACGAGGUUGCUGUUUCACACGGGACUGAUUCGAAUCUCACGACACCCAAGGUAUUGGCAUGUUUCUACCAUAUCCAGAUUAGAGCUCUCCGUUUUUUGUUUUUUAAUUUAAACUGUUUAGUCGAAUUAUUUGCUCUUUAGCAUCUUGGGUCACUAUACUAUAGUUAUAUAAAAAGUUGCUUGUGAAAUUAAAAAACACAUGGAAUUUACUACAUUGAUUUAGAAAAUUGAGAAGCGAUUUCAUAAAAAGAGAAUGCUUUCCUAUUACGUAUUUAACAAUCAAGGCACAUAAUAAUCUGAUGGCAACAGCAGAUAGAUAUUAUUUGAUUUGGGGAAGGGAAGAGUUAAUCAUAUUUGAGUCGGGUUUCCUAGCCAGUCCCACCCAGCCUGCAUGAGAACUUCAGCCUCUGGUGUGGAACUCUCGAAACAGCCUGUGGUGGUGAAGGAACGUGCCAGACUCAAAGCAGCUUCUUAAUCUGCCUUAUAGCGUUAGCUCUUCAGUUUUUCUGAUGAGGAGUAAUAGAGAUCAAAGUUAAGAUUCCAACCCUGCCUCUCCUAGCUUUCCUUCAUGAGCAGUGAACAGUGACUCACCUGGAUUCUCUUAGACUUGUUCAGAGGAGGGCUCUUGGAAACUCAAAAAGGCAAAUGUAUUUCCAUGAACAUAAGUAAUUAAAAAUAUCUCUUUCUGGCUUUGGUAGGAAACGAACUAUGAAUAAUGAUGUGCUGAAAUUUCACAAAGGUAAGGGAAAGGUGGUAGAAAUUGAAACUCAGUCCUUUUAUCCUUUCAGAUUUCUACUAUUAAAAUGGUUGGAUUAAGUGUUCACGCCAGUAAGCAAUCCUUGUUUUGCACAAUGGAGUAUACACAGAAUCCUGAUUCGCAACUUCUAUAUCUCUCUCUAUUUACUGGAAGCAUCUACCUCAUGGAACUGGCAGUAUUGGUCAGUAUCCUAUCUAACAGGUAGUGGCUUCAUCUGCUGUGAGUUUAUUAAGACAGGUUUUGGCUGGCACUUGACCACCCUCUCUUCCCCCCUACUUGCUUAGAAAAUGUCCUUUAUUCCCCCAACUCAAGUGUAUUCUUUUAUGCCUACAGCUUUUGUAACUGGAUACUGAAGAGGAAUUCGGCAUCGUGUUCCUUGUGUCCCCCCACCUGCAAGGACUAUUUCAGUUCCAGCCCCAGUCCAAGUGCGCAGAAUUACCCAAAAGAGGCAAUUCAAAGAUCAGCCUGCCCCAGACAUCACCCUCAAUUUUGAUCUUCACUGGGCAACUCGAAAGGGGGUGUGUGCAUCUCAAACUAUUAAGAACAGACUUCAGUUAGGCUUCCCUGGGCUAUGUGGUCCCAAAGUGAAGCUGAGGAGCCACCAGAAAACCUCAGAAGCUUUUCAUCCAGAAGCCUGAGGAAAGCCCUGCCCUUCCUCCAGAGAGCGGGUAUGACAGGGGUGCUGCCUUUCUGAGGCUGUAUUUGGGAAUCCAGGCACACUGUUCCCUCUGCUCUCAGAUCUCAUAAACCCAUCUAUGGAAGGUUGCUGACUUCCCAGGGAAUGUGACUGGAGAAAAUGGUUGCAAGACUUCUCAUCUCUGGGGUAGUGGAAAUAUGCCCUGCCAUUUCUUCCUCUCCUACUGUCCUCUCUCUACCAUCUGGAACCCCCUCAUUUUUCAGCAUGGGAGAUGGGUUUGUUUAUUUCAAUUUUACUAUUAUUAUUUUUUGCCAGUGGAAAGUCCUGCUCUUACAUGCUCUUACAGACAUUUUGUCCAAAUCUCUUGCUAUGCCAGGAGUCUUUCUUCUUCCUGUAAAGCCAAGCCUUUUGCAACUCCAAAACCAGGAAUAGACUGUUUCCCCCUGUUUUCUUCACUAUCACAUGUUUCUCUUUAAAGCAAUGAGCACAGAAUGCCCAGUUGCUUGUUUGGGUGGAGUAAUGAGUAAAGAGAUUGAGAGGGAAGAUAUUGCGUGCGGGAUGCAAUCUGUUAAUAUUAUCCUUCCAAACUUAUGGGGAAAAAACAGAAAUAACAAUAAUGAUAAUGAUAAUAAUAGAGCUCUUAGUGCAAACAUUGAUCCCUCUAUCCAGAUGAAAUUGUGUCCUUAGCCCUAAGAAAUAGUGCAUGCUCCUUAGUCUUUCUUUAUAUACACCGUCAGACUUCAAGACUUCAGAACUCAGAAGACCUGUUUUAAGUAAGCAAACUGACGAUGGGACAAGUUGUCUUCUAGGAGGAUUUAUCUUCAUUAGAGAUCAGUACUAGAGUGGUUUUGAAAGGUAUGAUUCUGUUAUUCAAGUUUGUUCUAGGAAUAUGACAGUUUACAUAAAACUGUUACUGUGAGAAAUCUAGACACAGUGAGAGGAACAUUUAGUCUUUUACACCCAGAAACCUGUGUAACAGGAAGAAUCACAUUGUAUUUUCUGAGAAUGCAGAGACAUCCUUAAAGUACCUUUGCAGUUUUAACUUGUGUUGAAAUAUGUUGAUACUAUUAAUUAUUGUAAUAAAGAAUU